AUCACGGCAACUCUGGGAAGUUUAAAAGAUAUUAAUGUAUCCUGGAGAGUUUGAGACUUUGCAGAAACUUACUGGCAGAGCAGAAUGAUUCUGAAAAAUGCUACAUCAGUGAGGGGAUAAGAUAUUUGAUAAGGUAUUUUCUGCCAACUCGGGUAUUCACUUAGCAUUGUUUAUCCUUUAAGAUAUGUAUACACAUACUUCCUCUGUGAGUUUACCCUACUAACAAAGUUUUAUCCCCAGCCUCAACCUUGCUUUGGGUCUCCAGGCCCAAGUUUCUCACCAUCUCUUGGAUGAUUGCUCCAGCCCAUUCUGCUGCCACCUGGGAUCCAACAUGUUCAAACCCAGCUGUGAACUUCACAGUAUUAAAAGAAAGAGCCUUUGCUUCAGCAGUUUAUGUUAUUAAGACGGAGGCUUGGGUCAUGUUAUCUCUCUCCACCAAUGUGUAAGGUGAAAGUCCUAUUAGGUAAGACGGACGCCAGAUUUCCAGAGCAAGGGGAGGAGAGACCCGAGCAAACAUCACUUCUCUGAAGACCUAGCUCCUGCGCGCGGCCGGGGACUGUGACUCCACAUGCCGGCGUUACUUACCCGGGCCCGCGCCUGACUCGCCACACCUCAUUUUGCGGCCGC
rnacentral:sRNA from 1 species